rnacentral:rRNA from 1 species
GAUGAACGCUGGCGGCGUGCCUAAUACAUGCAAGUCGAGCGAACAGACGAGGAGCUUGCUCCUCUGACGUUAGCGGCGGACGGGUGAGUAACACGUGGAUAACCUACCUAUAAGACUGGGAUAACUUCGGGAAACCGGAGCUAUACCGGAUAAUAUAUUGAACCGCAUGGUUCCAUAGUGAAAGACGGUUUUGCUGUCACUUAUAGAUGGAUCCGCGCCGCAUUAGCUAGUUGGUAAGGUAACGGCUUACCAAGGCAACGAUGCGUAGCCGACCUGAGAGGGUGAUCGGCCACACUGGAACUGAGACACGGUCCAGACUCCUACGGGAGGCAGCAGUAGGGAAUCUUCCGCAAUGGGCGAAAGCCUGACGGAGCAACGCCGCGUGAGUGAUGAAGGUCUUCGGAUCGUAAAACUCUGUUAUUAGGGAAGAACAAAUGUGUAAGUAACUAUGCACGUCUUGACGGUACCUAAUCAGAAAGCCACGGCUAACUACGUG